UCGCCUGUUUAACAAAAACAUCUUAAUCAUAGUUUAUAACGCCUGCUCAAUGAAAAAUUUAAAUAGCCUUAUGCUAAGGUAGCAUAAUAAUUUGUUUUUUAAUUGAAAAAUAGAAUGAAAGGUAUCUCAGACUUUGUUGGUUUUUAUUAUAUAUCAAAUUUUUAAUUUUAGUGAAAAUACUAAAAUUAUACUUUUAGACUAAAAGACCCUAUGAAGCUGACUAAUAUUAUAUUAUUAUGAUUAGGUCUAUUAGGUUAUUUGGGGUAAAUUUAAAAAGUAAUAUUUAAACAAUAAAAUUGAACCACAUAUGUUUAAAUGAAUUAGCUCCUCUAGGGAUAACAGCUUUAUAGACGUUAAAGACCAUAUUUAAUUGUCUGAUUGUGACCUCGAUGUGAAU
rnacentral:rRNA from 1 species